UACAGAGGGUGCGAGCGUUGUCCGGAAUCACUGGGCGUAAAGGGCGCGUAGGCGGCUCGGUCAGCGUGCGGUGAAAGCCCGGGGCUCAACCCCGGGUCGGCCGUGCGAACUGCUGGGCUGGAGCACUGUAGAGGCAGGUGGAAUUCCGGGUGUAGCGGUGGAAUGCGUAGAGAUCCGGAAGAACACCGAUGGCGAAGGCAGCCCCCUGGGCUGAGAUUGACGCUCAGGCACGAAAGCGUGGGGAGCAAACAGG
rnacentral:rRNA from 1 species